rnacentral:rRNA from 1 species
GACCUCAAAUCAGGUAGGACUACCCGCUGAACUUAAGCAUAUCAAUAAGCGGAGGAAAAGAAACUAACAAGGAUUCCCCUAGUAACUGCGAGUGAAGCGGGAAAAGCUCAAAUUUAAAAUCUGGCGGUCUUUUGGCUGUCCGAGUUGUAAUCUAGAGAAGUGUUAUCCGCGCUGGACCGUGUACAA